GACGAACGCUGGCGGCGUGCUUAACACAUGCAAGUCGAACGGUAAGGCCCUUCGGGGUACACGAGUGGCGAACGGGUGAGUAACACGUGGGUGAUCUGCCCUGCACUUCGGGAUAAGCCUGGGAAACUGGGUCUAAUACCGGAUAGGACUCCUGGCUUCAUGGUUGGGGGUGGAAAGCUUUUGCGGUGGGGGAUGGGCCCGCGGCCUAUCAGCUUGUUGGUGGGGUAAUGGCCUACCAAGGCGACGACGGGUAGCCGGCCUGAGAGGGUGACCGGUCACACUGGGACUGAGAUACGGCCCAGACUCCUACGGGAGGCAGCAGUGGGGAAUAUUGCACAAUGGGCGCAAGCCUGAUGCAGCGACGCCGCGUGAGGGAUGACGGCCUUCGGGUUGUAAGCCUCUUUCAGCUAUGACGAAGCGCAAGUGACGGUAGUAGCAGAAGAAGGACCGGCCAACUACGUGCCAGCAGCCGCCGUAA
rnacentral:rRNA from 1 species